AACGAACGCUGGCGGCAGGCUUAACACAUGCAAGUCGAACGGGUGUAGCAAUACACCAGUGGCAGACGGGUGAGUAACACGUGGGAACCUUCCUAGGGGUACGGAACAACUCAGGGAAACUUGAGCUAAUACCGUAUACGUCCGUAAGGAGAAAGAUUCAUCGCCCCUAGACGGGCCCGCGUCGGAUUAGGUAGUUGGUGGGUAACGGCUACCAAGCCUACGAUCCGUAGCUGAUCUGAGAGGAUGAUCAGCCACACUGGGACUGAGACACGGCCCAGACUCCUACGGGAGGCAGCAGUGGGGAAUCUUGGACAAUGGGCGCAAGCCUGAUCCAGCCAUGCCGCGUGAGUGAAGAAGGCCUUAGGGUUGUAAAGCUC
rnacentral:rRNA from 1 species